GAAAAUUUGGGUUCUCCGUUCCGAAAGCAUCUUAUUCAUAGUUAUUACCAACCCAUUCCCCCGUUUUCAUUUAUUUUGCAAAAGAAAAAAAAAGAAAUCAAUCGAUUUUCAUUUUUUCCUCUCAUUUUGUCGAUUCAAUGGAGAACAGCAGCAGCAGCAGCAAUUCGUCUGCUCCUCUCGCAUGGCACGAUUUCUUGGAUCGCAUGCGUCACCCAUCCGCAUCUGAUUUUGUCAAAUCCAUCAAAAGCUUCAUUGUAUCCCUCUCAAACAAGGCUCCUGACCCGGAAAAGGAUAGUGCUGCUGUUCAAGAGUUUCUUGCAAAGAUGGAAGGGGCUUUCAGGGCUCAUAUGCUUUGGGCAGGUUGCUCAGAGGAAGAGCUGGAAAGUGCUGGUGAAGGACUAGAGAAAUAUGUCAUGACGAAACUUUUUAAUCGGGUAUUUGCGUCGCUUCCAGAAGAUGUUCUAAGCGAUGAAGAAUUGUUUGAGAAGAUAUCUUUACUCCAACAAUUUAUACGCCCUGAGAAUUUGGAUAUAAAGCCAGCAUUCCAAAAUGAAACUUCUUGGCUGCUUGCACAGAAAGAACUGCAAAAGAUUAAUCUCUACAAGGCUCCUAGAGAUAAACUCAUCUGUAUCCUCAAUUGUUGCAAAGUCAUAAACAACUUACUGCUAAAUGUUUCCAUUGCAUCACACGAGGAUCCUCCGGGAGCAGAUGAUUUCCUUCCGGUUCUUAUAUAUGUUACUAUUAAGGCGAAUCCUCCACAGUUGCAUUCAAAUUUGUUAUACAUACAGAGAUAUAGGAGCCAAUCACGUUUGGUCUCUGAAGUGUCAUAUUACUUCACAAAUUUUCUCUCUGUAGAAUCUUUCAUCUGGAACGUUGAUGCAGCAUCUCUUUCAAUGGAUGAAGAAGAAUUCCAAAAGAAAAUGGAAUCAGCUAGAGUUCAUAUUUUGGGUCUAUCAACCAAUAGAGAAAGCCAAAGAACCCAAACCAAUCAAGAGCAAAACGGGCAAAUUGUAGAUUCAUUCAGGAACCCAGGAACUCAUACUAUUACAAGAGAGUACUCUGAUCCACCCCAAAUGCAUGAGGGAAGCAAUGAUCUGGAACAGGAUCAACCAACUACAGCUGAGUCAUCAAUUUCAAGAUUGGAGGAACAAGGAGCUGUUGAGUUAUUGAAGGAUGCCCAAUGUAGUAAAUACUUCCAGGAGUUCCCCUACUUCUAUGCUAAUGCCGGCGAUUUAACAGUUGAUGAUGUACACAGACUUCUCGAUUCCUAUAAAAGACUUGUUCUCAUGUAUGUAACUAGAUCACGAGGAAGGACAGAAGGGAGUUCUAAUACCAAUACAGAGUCUGAAGAUGGAAGAUAGAUGAAGAAUUGUGUCCAAUGUGAAUUCAGAAGGGAUUAGAAGCCAGCAAUUCGUCUGAAAAUUCAGUUUUAGGAAUGGGUGUUUCUGAUGCAAGACUACUUCAGAGUCAUUGUAUCAGUAUGAGGCAAAAUCUGCAAAAAGUAAAAUUUGGCCCUUAUUAGUGCGUGCCACCGAACUUCACUCAUUAUCUAUGGCAUCUUCUGAAUUAACUAAUCCCUAUGAUCAGUGGAAUAGAGUCUGAAGAAAAGGAGCACGUUUUGGUCUUCUGGCAUAACAAGGUUUCUCGGCUUGCUUUCUUAUGUACUUCAUGAUCUAUGGUGGUAUCUACCCUGCUUAUAGUUUCUUGCCUUCACUGGAAGCAGUUAAAACUACUUGAUGAAGGAGAUGCUACAGAUAGGGUUCAUAAUCUAGUUCAAACAGCUUUUUUCAGUGGAAAGAUAGAUUGUUGUGCUGACCGGGAACUAAUACUUAUAUAUAGAGCAGAUGUUGUCAUCAGCAAAUGCCAGUUAAUUAGGGAGCUCUACAGGUUAUGAGAAGUAACUGACACAAGUUGAGUUUCUUCCUUAUGUUUCCUUUACAACUAUUUUGAUAGCGAGUUGGUUAAUGAAGCAGAGGGUUUAAAGAUCUUGAUCUAUUUUGUACUUAUUAUUAGUAGUAGGUUGAGUGACUAAUCGGUGUACUUAACAUAACCUUCUUGUUAUAUGUAGAUUUUGAGAGAUGAUUGAUGGGCAUGGAUAAGAGAUUAAUGCAUAUGUAGAUUUUGAGAGUCAACUUUCUAUAAAACAUCAAUUUACGUCAUCUUUACCUAAUUUUAGUUUCCCUCAAGAAGAGGCUAACAUAACCAUAAACUCAACAUCAUACUGUACACUCAACAUCUUUAUGUGAUGCAUGUUACACAUUUCAUACUGUUUGAGCCUCGUCAUGAUCAACCCAUUAGGAUACCAUUUAAAUAUCGAAGAUGAUGUGCUCUCUAUAGAAAUUAUUUAUCGUAUCCACCCUGCACAGAGUUAAAUUUAUACUAAACAGAAAAUGCGAAGUAAAUUAGGUGUUACACUAUCCAAUAGUUUACGGUUUGUAUGGUAUUAUAAAAUUGUACCCUUUCUCUGGGAUUCAAGCCUCACAAAAUGUGGCAUGUAGUGAAAGCAGUUUCUCACUUGAGAAAAAAAGUUUCAUCCUUGGAUUAAGUCUCUAAAUUAGGUUUAAUCCCUUGGUACAGUUUUCCUGUUCAUCAGAUCUUGUUUUAGGACGUGGAUGUAAUUAGCUCGUAGAUACAUAUUUUGUGACUCAGUCAAGUCUUUCAUUAUAGCAAAUUAUGAAUUGUGGACUAAAUGGUACAACUUGCUUGUCAAGACUUUUCUUAGAUAGUAGAGUGGAAAGUCUUUGAAGCCAAAAAGGAAAUAGUUUUGAUGAACUUUUUCUAUAUUAUCACAUGCAUAGUCAAUAUAUGGAUAUCCGUCAUCACAUAAAAUUUCAGUGGAAAUUAUUAGGAAAUGAAUUAUAGUUAAAAAGCAAAUUAAUCAAGCAAAACUUGUAGUUCUAUUAAAAACUAAUUUCUACAGAGGAGUGAGCGUGUUGAUAAUGUUUUAAUUUGAGGAUAUAUCAGUAACUUAAAAAAAUUAGACAAAUUCUCCUAAAAUUUAUUAAGAUUUUCUUUACGUUUUGACUUUUGUAUAGGGCGAAGGUCUCUUUGAGUUUAUGGUCAUUAUCAUGACCAUGUCAGUUUGCUACUUGUUUUGCAAAAGAUAAAACUUUGCACGGUAACUUUUCAAGCGAAAUUAUGGACUAAAACUUAAUUGUAUGACUAGCAAACAAUUUAUUAAUAAAUAUUGUCUUAGGAAUUAUAAUAUUGAAAGAUUAUGACAUAAUUCCCUUGGACAUUUGGGAUUCCCUAUUCCCAAAAUUAUAAACUCUGAAAGAAAUUUAGACGGAAUAAGCAUGAAGCCAAAAAAAAAAAAAAA